UACGUAGGGUGCGAGCGUUGUCCGGAAUUAUUGGGCGUAAAGGGCUCGUAGGCGGUUUGUCGCGUCGGGAGUGAAAACUCAGGGCUUAACCCUGAGCCUGCUUCCGAUACGGGCAGACUAGAGGUAUGCAGGGGAGAAUGGAAUUCCUGGUGUAGCGGUGAAAUGCGCAGAUAUCAGGAGGAACACCGGUGGCGAAGGCGAGUCCCUGGACAACACCUGACACUGAGGCACGAAAGCUAGGGGAGCAAACAGG
rnacentral:rRNA from 1 species